rnacentral:rRNA from 1 species
GACGAACGCUGGCGGCGUGCCUAAUACAUGCAAGUAGAACGCUGAAGAGAGGAGCUUGCUCUUCUUGGAUGAGUUGCGAACGGGUGAGUAACGCGUAGGUAACCUGCCUUGUAGCGGGGGAUAAUUAUUGGAAACGAUAGCUAAUACCGCAUAACAAUAGGUGACACAUUGCAUUUAUUUGAAAGGGGCAAUUGCUUCACUUCAAGAUGGACCUGCGUUGUAUUAGCUAGUAGGUGAGGUAACGGCUCACCUAGGCGACGAUACAUAGCCGACCUGAGAGGGUGAUCGGCCACACUGGGACGGAGACACGGCCCAGACUCCUGCGGGAGGCAGCAGUAGGGAAUCUUCGGCGAUGGGGGCAACCCUGACCGAGCGACGCCGCGUGAGUGAAGAAGGUUGUCGGGUCGUAAAGCUCUGUUGUAAGUCAAGAACGAGUGUGAGAGUGGAAAGUUCACACUGUGACGGUAGCUUACCAGAAAGCGACGGCUAACUACGUG